CUGAGUUGUCGACAUGAGUUGUUGCUGGUCCUCAAACGAGGGCAUGUGCACGCUCUGUUCACACAUCCACUCACACCUGUGCACCCUCUGUAGUUCUAUGGUUUGGGAGGCGCAUCGUCUCUUCCCUCCUGUAGCUCUAUGUUUUUACACACACACCGUAGCAAAGUCUUGUGGAAUGUGCACCGCGUUUAACGCAAUACAAUA
rnacentral:misc_RNA from 1 species